rnacentral:rRNA from 1 species
GUGGGGAAUUUUGGACAAUGGGCGCAAGCCUGAUCCAGCAAUGCCGCGUGCAGGAAGAAGGCCUUCGGGUUGUAAACUGCUUUUGUACGGAACGAAACGGUCCUGGUUAAUACCUGGGGCUAAUGACGGAACCGUAAGAAUAAGCACCGGCUAACUACGUGCCAGCAGCCGCGGUAAUACGUAGGGUGCAAGCGUUAAUCGGAAUUACUGGGCGUAAAGCGUGCGCAGGCGGUUUUGUAAGACAGGCGUGAAAUCCCCGGGCUCAACCUGGGAAUUGCGCUUGUGACUGCAAGGCUGGAGUGCGGCAGAGGGGGAUGGAAUUCCGCGUGUAGCAGUGAAAUGCGUAGAUAUGCGGAGGAACACCGAUGGCGAAGGCAAUCCCCUGGGCCUGCACUGACGCUCAUGCACGAAAGCGUGGGGAGCAAACAGGAUUAGAAACCCGGGUAGUCC